CCGACCGGCAGGAACGCGGCCUCGCCUCUCAGCGUGGUCAGCUCAGUGUUGGGGUUGCGGGCGCGAGACGCCCCUCGCCUCCGGUGUUGGGGUCGCGGGCCUCAGGGGGGCGUCCGUCCACGGCGACCCUGCAGGCCCUGGUCUGGUGUCCGCGCGGACGCUGAGGGUUCGGGGUGCGCUGGGCUUGCGCUGGGGCGGGCGGGGGGCGUCCACACGCUUCCUCCCCAGCACGCGUGGGCCUUUUCACGACUCUCGGGAGUGAGCAGGACCCCCUGGGCACCUUUGGACGUCCUUCGUAGACGCGCUGUGACGUGUGUGUUAGCCCAUGUGCUUUUCAAAACAGCCUUGGAAGGAGCUCCAGCAGCCGUUUCAGACCGUGGGGUGACCUUGGGAAGUGCGAGGACAGACAUGAGGGAACUACAGACGUCCGGAGCCUUGGGGGCUGGCGGAGCCGAACUGAGACCCCCCGCCCCCUCCACACACACACCGGGAAUCCUGAGGGAGCUGAUCCCCGGUGUCGGCGGGAAGCGUAUCUGCCAGGUGCGACGGUGGACUGUGCUGGCCGCGAAUACCCGCCCCUGUCCGCAGAGGGCCACCUUCCUAGGUCAGAAAUAAUGGACAGUGGAUGGCUACCAACAGACCAUUGAAAGCCAUGGAGUCUCUUCGGUUGCCUGCAAAAAAAGCCUCAUCUCCUGCAUUGAGACAAUGAAGACAAGGGCCAGGCUCAAGAAUUAAUAUCUCAAAGAUGGCAAACACCCAGCCAAGGCAGUUCUGUGAUGCUAAGUUUGGGGCCCUGGUUGGGAAAAUCUGGGCCCAUGACACAUGUCAAAGAGAUCUCAUAUCUGGAAAAGAAGAUCAGAAACAUCUCACAUUCACGUGGAACAAAGAUGCAGUUUUGCCUGAAGCCUAUGUUACCUCUCUUGCCCUCUCAUAGUCCAAAGACUUCACCAUCCUGAAGAACAUCACAUCGUUUCCAUUACAUCAAUAACAUUAUAAAGAUGCUGGAGACAUCGGUAAGAUACAGGUGCUCCAGAGAGUAGUAGAUAAACCCUCUGAAGAUUCAGGGACCUGCUACACUUAAAAUAUUUUUAGGGAUCCAGUGGUCAGUGGUGCCCUAAGGCAUCCCUUCCAAAAGAAAAAGACAAUUGUUGCGUCAUGUACCUUCAACCAUUUUUUAAUAAAGGAAGACACUGUUGGGCCUCUUCAAGUUCUGGAAGCAGCAUAUUCCACACAUAAAUACUGCUCUGGCCCAAAUACCGGUUGACUUGGAAGACUUCCAGGUUUGAGAAGAGCCCAGAAAAGGAAAAGUUUCUGUCUCAGGUCAAGGCUGUGGUACAAGCAGUUCUGCUGCCUGGGCCAUACGGUCUAGCAGGUGGUAUUGGUGGUGGGGAACAAUGCAAUGUGGAGUUUCUGGCACAUCUCAGCAGGAGAUUGACAAAGCAGGAGCCCUAGGUUCUGUGAUGCCACUUGAAGCAGAGAAUUAUAUAUGCCUUUUGAGGGAAAAAAACCAUCUUGGUGUGCUUCUGUGCUCUGACAGAAAUGGAACAUCUGACCUUGGGACACCAAGUGACCCCGCAGACAGGACUGCUUUGUGAGGUGGGUUCUGCCAAACUCACCAAGUCAUCAGGUCGGUUUGGCCCAGAAACAGUCCACCACCAGGUGGAAGGAAGGAGCACAUUCAAGACUGAGCAUGAGACUGUUCAGAGGUCACAAGGGAGUGCAAAAUAGGUGGCCCAGACCCACAUGGCAUCCACUGCUGUUGUAUCAGAGCCUCUCUGUUCCUUCGCAUCUAUGACCGUAUGGGGAAGCCUUCAGAGCAAGUUGACAGAGGUGGAAAAAUCUUGAGCCUGGUUCACAGAUGGGUUGGCUUGGCAUGUGAGUUCAGAAUGAAAGUGUACAGCAGCUACAUUACAGCCUCACUCAGGGCUGGCCCUACAGACAGUGGUUAAGGAUAUACCCUCCCCAUGGACAGAGCUCCUAGUCAUUCCCUUUUCUGCGUAAGGAGUGGCCCAAGGUGAGAAUAUAUAUGGACACACGGGCAGUGUUGGAUGGCCUGUGUGACUGGCUAAGGGUUUGGAAGGAAAACAAUUGGAAAACUGGGGACAAGGAAAGCAUGUGGGAAGACAUACUGGGAUAGGCGCCAAGCAGGAUGGUCUUGGUGUAAAAUAUUAAUGCCCACCAGAGAGCACCCAUGAAAGUAAUAAACCACCAAGCAGACAGAACGACGAUUCAGCCAGUUGACCCUGGACAGCAUCUCUUACUUGGCAACCCCUGCACUGGCAUGAUGGGUACAAGAACAGAGGAACAAAAGUAAUGAGGUUGGAGGCUACUCGUGGGCCCAAAGCUGAUCUAACCACUAGCUGACACUGAAGGUCUAACCUGCCAGUGGGAGACCAAUGCUGAGCUCUGAAUGUGGCUCCUUCCACUAAGAAGGUCAACCAGCCAAGUUUGCUGUAUUGGAACUCUUCCAUCCUGGAAGGGCCAGGAGUUUGUUUUCACAGAAAUAGAUUCAUAUUCCAUAUAUAGGCUUGACUUCCUGCCCACAAGUUUCAGGCAACAGGGGCUUAUGGAGUGGUAGUUCCUCUGGCACAGGAUCCCAUGUGGCAUCAUAUCAAACAUAGGAUUCACUUUAUGGCAAAGGAAGUGCACAGCAAGGAGUGCAAAGACCACGGGAUCUGCUGCCUGACAGAGCACUGGGACAGUCAGCUAAAGGCACAGCUCAAGUACCAAAUCGGAGGUAAUGUUCUGCAAAGAUGGGGUGGCAUUCAAGACCUAUAUAUGGCACUGUGUUCCCAACAAGAAAGAUACCUGAAUCUGAAACCCAAGGGGUGGAAACAGGAGUGGUCCCACUUAACCAUCACCUGCAGUGAUCCACUGGGGGCUUUGUGCUUCCUGUCCUCCCAAGUUUAGAUUCUGCAGGGUUAGAGGUCCUGGUCCCCAAAAGGGACACUCCCUGGGGAACACACCAAGUGUUCCAUUGGAUUAUAAACUAUGGAUGAUGUCUGGGAACCUUGGGUUCCUGCGUCUAGGAACCAGCAGGUGAAAGGAGGAGUCACUGUCUUGGUGACAGAGAGGGUAGGGCUGCUCCUACACUCACUGCACAACGGGGAAGAAUGUGUAGAACCUGAGUGACCCACAGGGGUGUGGCUCCGUACUCCUUUGCUUAUCUGCAAUUGAGAAACUAGAGAAUCCAACUUGCACACGCAGUGGAAGAGUCUGCCUCUUGAUUUUCAGACCCCUGCAGUCUGGCUGUAAGGGAAGUACAUGAUACACAUGCUCCUAGUUUUAGGCAUAAACCAGUUUGCAACACUGCGUCCAACUUGAAAGACUGAUUUCCAAGCUGGCGCUGAUAGAGAGCCUUCAACCAGCCAUUCCACUCUUCAGCCCAGACAGCCGCUUCCAGCUGAUGGGACACGAUAUUGGUUCGUAAACUUGCCCCUGUACACGAGGGCAAGGAGAGACCAAAGAGACACAGACACUCCAGAUCAGCAGCUUUAAUAAGCAGGGAACUUACGAGGUUUGUCCUGGCGGCCAGAAGACGAACAGAUCUCCACACCCGCCCGCCAGAAUCUUAAGAGCUUAUACAGAGGCCUUGACUGGGUUCAGUCAUGCACACCUUCCAGAUGGUGUCCACACCACCUUGCUCUCUCAAGGCUGCAUCCUUGGGGCAGCUGCCAGCGUGGGGAGGGCAAGCACAAUGCACAACCCAAGGAUGGGGAGCUGGUGGGGAGCCUCUGAUGGCCCAGGGCCAGCUAACAGGUCAACCAGCGGUCAUGUCCUCUCGACGACCUCCUCCAACAUGGUAAGACCAGUGGAUUCUACGUGUGAACUCAUCCUGCACUUUCGUCGCUUUAAAGUAACGCCUGCUGCUAAGAGGCAGUGUCAUGCAGAGCUACAGCAACGAACAAGACGUCUCCAAGGGCACAGAGAGUGCUGUUGGCAGAUGCACUGCAGACAGGGAAGCAAAAAAGUCGCACCUGGAGUGUGUCUAUUCCUGGCGGGACCGACCACUGCGUCCUCUGUGAUGGAGGAACCAGCUCGCCACAUCAAGGUCUCAGCCCUGGCCUCUGCGGUUGGCAGUUCAGGCACUGAGAAGUGGGAGAAGCCAGGAAGCCUUGGUGAGAGGAGGUCUUGUUGCUGAACCAGUGCAAGUCUCUUUUCUGCCACCUAAGGAAAGAGGCUGAGUGACACCCAUGAGCAAGUCAUCCUGUCCGCUGGACUGCACUUCGGCAGUGGGUGCCCUGAGGGAGGAAGGUCUUCUUACAUACCCGUCCUGCAGAUGACCUUGACACCACUUUGCAAUCUUUCUGCCAUCAAGUAUUGACCAGCUGGACAGUCAGUUACUCAUGAGAAUGCUUAUGGAUCAGGAACCCAGGUCAGUUCUCUUUCCACAUGGAAUGGAGCACCAAUGUACCAUCCGAAGUUUGCCAGCUGGAAAUCUUCCAAAUCCCAUACGCUGCGUGUGUGUGGCAACUGUCUACUUCUGGCUGAGGCCAGCACACUGUGCAGAUCCAGCUGCAGAACAAAUUUGUGCUUCUUCCUGUUCUGCCAACUAGUCACAGGUAACAUCUCACAAGACCACAGACGUGGCUGAGACAGUGAAACAGAAGAUCCAGCACCAUGAGCCUGACUACCGACCAUGUCAUUUACGUACGUCUUCUGAUCUUCUCACACCCAGCUCUGUGUGUACCUGUGAUGGACAAACUCCUACGCUGAAAUCCUGCCCACAAUGGGAUGGCGUUGGGAGGUAGAAGCUCUGGGGAGCAGAUGAAGCUGUGAGGGUGGAGCCCUCCCUUACGGAUGGGAUUAUUGCCCUUAAAAGAGCCACGAGUGCUUGCUCCCCCUCUCUGCUCUCCACCACGUAAAGAUACAAGGAAUAAUCAGCCAUCUGCAACCCAGGAGAGGCCCUCACGAGAACCCCACCCUGCUGGCCCCCGCAUCUUGAACUUCCAGCCUCCAGAACGAGCUGGUCAAGAUUUCGCUUCAAUAACAUCAAGCAGAAGACAGGACUCGGUGGGAAGAUUAUAAAACAGUGACCUUAUGGCAGUGUUGGCUAAGAAGAGGAAAAUGCAGACAUGCACUGGAAAGAAAAAUCUAAAAUAAGCUGUACACUUUAAGAAAAUAAACAACAGGAAGCCAUCCUCUGCUUACCCUUUGUGGGUGGGCAGGGAGGCUCGACCAACAGAGAACCGGGCAGACGCCCGUCACUCAUGAGCACACAGCUACCUCAUCAAGGUAAGAAGCUAAGAUGUGCUGAAAUCACACAGAAAAUACUCCACUUGGCUUUGCAGCAAAGCGUAAGGGUGAGAGCACCUAACUGACGACACCGGGGCUGGCGCUCAGCACCACUCAGCACGCGCACAUCACAAGCUCCCACAGAAAAUCAAACCUCUUCCUCAAAUACAAUCGUCACAGGACUUUAUUCACUGUUUACUCUUCUGGCAGCAGGACUUCUCUGAAGUAGAAUCUAGACACAAGUAGAAAUGAGGAAGCAAUCUGUGAGAAGGCUUCACAUCUUCUAAGAAGAAUUUCACAAUUUCGAAACACUAUCACUGAAUUAACCUUAUUUUUGGUAACAAUAAGAAUAGCAAUUAAGAUACGCAGUGGUUCACAUUAUGAAAGUUGAGAAACGGUGGACAAACGACAUCCUGUAAACACGGUCCUCAUGGUCGCUGUGAGUCUGUGAGUCUGAGACACUGUGCGUCCUUCACACCCACCCCUCGGUGUCUCCACUCACAACCCUCCUUCUGAUACUAUUCAUUAUGGCCGAUUAGCAGGACUGAAACUAACAAGAGUAACUAAGCUGGACCCCAGCCGUCUCCUCUCCAGGACUGGACACUCCUGGGUCACUCAGAUCCCGUCAGAAGACAGAGGACUUUCAUUACCUGGUGGUACGUCUCCCAGUCUUUGCUGGAUCAUUUCUAAAUGGUGAAUGUAUUCCGUCAAGGAAUGUUCUGGAUCUUGAGAAGCAGUCAGGGAUCUUUCUGAUCUGGGAUUUGGGGACGGAUUUGAUCUUCAAACAUACAAACCAACAAACAAACAAAAAGAGUUGAACUCAGCAGACGGUUUGAAUGCAGCCAGUGCGGAGGGGCAGUGGAGCUGGGCCUGCUGACCAGACACUCAUGGGAAAUGGGGUAAACUAGGCGGUUGUUACUUUCCUAUAUUUUCUUUACCACAGCGGAAAAAUAGUAAGGGUUUUUUAAGAAGUGCUACAUAGUGCUUUAAAACUAACUUCUUUACAACGUCUCCAAAUUAAAACAACUAAAAACUACUGUAUAUUAUUUAAUUCACUAAAUCUUCACAUAUAAGUCUAUCAUCCCAACCGGAUUCUGCCCAGCAUCCUUCACAGGGGUCCCUUCCUCCUGGCCUCCAGCUGGGCCCAGGGAGCCCCAUCUGCCUCACUGCUCACUUCCUCUCCAGGGCAGGGAGUGUCUUACCUGUGCGCCAUCCACAAAAAAGAGGCCUUGGCCACCACCUAUUCCUUCAAAGGUAUCACCCACUCGGGAAUGGGGGAGCCACAGCCAGACCGAGAGCCCCUGCCUGCCCUCCCCGAAUAGAACCGGGCUUCUGGGCCCUCACGGACUCACACUGCUGCACUCCCUGCCUCGCUCUGGGACCCAAACUUUCAGAACAUGUCUCUGUGAGGAACCACACACGCUGGUGGGUUCCCAUCGGCAGAGACGCAGGGUGAGUGGGGACACAGCCUCACGCACAGCGGAGCCACCCACGCUCAUCGGUCUGGCCUCCCCCAUCAGGGCAGUUACGCCCGAGAUCGUCACACUCUUAACACGCAACUCGUACGGAGGUCUCAUCACCAACCGGAGACCAUGGAGCGAGAGAGCAAAGGUGAGCAUUUUAUCCCUGCUGGUCCGAUGUCAGAGGUGGACGAUGCGUUCUGCUCUGACGAGCUUGUUUUAGAACCCCGGGGAAGCACGCACAGAGAGAACAGACGACAUGCCUACACAAGCCGUCACAUGUGUGUGUGUGACAAAUACCACAGACACAGACUGAGCUUUCUGUUCACUUCACGGGUAGGUUCCAAAUACUGGAGGAGUCGUAGUCAAAUGAAUUAAAUAAAUGACUUGUAAUCAUAUUCGAGCAUUUGAAUAGGAUUAUAAUUAUUUGUGUUUCAGUCUGGAGAAAUGGAAAUGGAAAUCACAUCUCUCACAAGCAGCACUUGGAUAAGAAAUCUCACGGUCAGGAAAAUGGGCUGCAAACCGUGAUGAAGGUGAUUAGGGCCACACCACACAGCCUUGUUACACCCAGGGCUCAGAACGUGACAGUCAUAGCCGUCAGGGAAACCUUUCUUCACCUGAAUUUUUAAACCAAAUUCCAUUCUACAAUUUAACCACAAGGCCUCUUAAUUAUAUUUUUAAUUGAAAACAGUUUUUUCCCCAAAUAACCAAUGAAUGUUUAACAUUAUCACUGUAACAUCUCAAUUGCCAAGUAAGUUGUAAGUAUAAAAACACAUUACGUGUGCAAAAAACCCCCCAAUCCCAAAGAAAAAGACUAAGUAAAGCUAACACCACGGCCUUGCAUGUAUGUGUGUGUGCGCGUGUCGGGGGAGGGUCACGUGUGCCCGGGGGCCCUUCCAUCACAGGCGGGCCUGAGCACCCGCACAGCUCUGCCCAGGGACACCUCCGCGCGUGGCCCUGUCUCUGCAGAUGGGGCCCCUGCUGACGGCUACAAUCUUGCAGUGGGAAAGCAGCUGAGGCACCACCGCUCACCUUUCCCUCCUGCGUGGGGAUGCUUUUGGCACAGGGCCCCUGGCGUGGCUGGAAGACACGUCCCGGGUUGGUGGGGAUGCGCGGGUGUCGGGUGGAGACUGCUGCGGCCGUGGCACCAGGAAUCCUUCCCCCAGGAUUAUUUAGCAACGAAGGGAUUAAGAAAAAAAAAAAGAAUGCAUUUUAGUAGGGAGGCCCAUCCGCCAAAAUUUUAAAUUUACAAGCUUUUAGGAGUCUGCAUGGCAAUUUCAAAACGUUUAAAAAGUACUCGUUAGGGCUUCCCUGGUGGCGCAGUGGUUGAGAGUCCACCUGCCGAUGCAGGGGACAUGGGUUUGUGCCCCGGUCCGGGAAGAUCCCACAUGCCGUGGAGCGGCUGGGCCCAUGAGCCAUUGGCCGCUGAGCCUGCGCAUCCGGAGCCUGUGCUCCGCAACGGGAGAGGCCACAACAGUGAGAGUUCCGCGUACCGCAAAAAAAAAAAAAAAAAAAAAAGUAUUCGUUAUAAACACUGUAUUAAAAAAAUCUCUAGAAGAAACCUGAGGGUUUUUGUUUUUUGUUUUUUAAAUGUAUUUAUUUAGUUAGUUAGUUAUUUGGCUGCGUUGGGUCUUUGUUGCUGUGUGCGGGCUUUCUCUAGUUGCGGUGAGCAGGGGCUACUCUUCGUUGUGGUGCGCGGGCUUCUCAUUGCAGUGGCUUCUCUUGUUGCAGAGCACAAGCUGUAGGCGCACAGGCCUCAGCAGUUGUGGACCGCGGGCUCUAGAGCACAGGCUCAGUAGUUGUGGCACACGGACCCAGCUGCUCUGCAGCAUGUGCGAUCUUCCCGGACCAGGGAUCGAACCCGUGUCCCCUGCAUUGUCAGGCGGAUUCCUAACCACUGCGCCACCAGGGAAGUCUGAAACCUGAGUUUUGAGCACCUGCAUUUCAUUCCUGCAAGGCCAACCCUGACCCCCGUGUCUGUGUGGGCAGCGCCCUGGAGAAGCACUCAGCACCCUGAUGGAGUGAGCACGGCGCCAGGUGGGCCUGGGGUGGGUCUCCUGCACCCAGCUCUGAGGAGUGGGAAGGGCAGAAACCCCGGCGACCAUCAGGUGCAGCCGGGGGGCAGCGGGUGUGGGGGGACCCCUCCUGAAGAACCUUGAAGCCAGCUGAUUCCGAGACGUAAGGAUUCACACGUGGAAAUCAAAGGGGACUGGCACCACCAGGGAAGCCCAGUGGCCAUGAAGGGUGCCGCCCACUGCAGCUCCCCCAGGCAGCCCAGCUACACCUGGGCAGCGGCCCGUCAGAUGGGGCAGAGGACGACCGCAGCCUGGACGGGACUGAGGCAGAGGAGGCAGUGGUGCUCCCAGGAGACGUGCACAGUGUGAAGUAGAACUUCACUCCAUUUGGGAGAAUGAAAAAGCCUUUUCACUGAAGAUAAGCUAUUUGUCGAUACAUUUAGCAUUUCUGUAGUUUUCAAUCAUUAUUACGCUCCUCUGAACCACUUUUAUUCAUCAACAUUAACUGUAUAAACUUGUGCUUGUUCCCAAAAUA